AGCGAACGCUGGCGGUAGGCCUAACACAUGCAAGUCGAACGGCAGCACAGUAAGAGCUUGCUCUUACGGGCGGCGAGUGGCGGAAGGGUGCGGAAUACACCGGAAUCUACUUUUUCGUGGGGGCUAAUGUCGGGAAACUUACGCUAACACCGCAUACGACCUACGGGUGAAAGCAGGCGAUCUUCGGACCUUGUGCGAUUGUAUGAGCCGACGUCGGAUUAGCUAGUUGGCGGGGUAAAGGCCCACCAAGGCGACGAUCCGUAGCUGGUCUGAAAGGAUGGUCAGCCACACUGGAACUGAGACACAUUCGAGACUCCGACGGGAGGCAGCAGUGGGGAAUAUUGGACGAAGGACGCGAGGCUGAUCCUGCCAUACCGCGUGGAGGAAGAAGGCGUUCUGGUGGGAGAGCCCUUUUGUUGGGAGAGAAGUACAGCAGUUUUAUACCCCGCUAUUCUGACGGUACCGAGAGAAUAAGCACCGGCUAACUUCGUG
rnacentral:rRNA from 1 species